UGGCGGCGAGCGGCGAACGGGUGAGUAACAUAUCGGAAGUACCCCGUCGUGGGGGAUAACACAGCGAAAGCUGUGCUAAUACCGCAUACGACCUGAGGGUGAAAGCGGGGGAUCGCAAGACCUCGCGCGAUGGGAGCGGCCGAUAUCGGAUUAGCUUGUUGGUGGGGUAAAAAGCCUACCAAGGCGACGAUCUGUAGCUGGUCUGAGAGGACGACCAGCCACACUGGGACUGAGACAGGCCCAGACUCCUACGGGAGGCAGCAGUGGGGAAUUUUUGGACAAUGGGCGCAAGCCUGAUCCAGCCAUGCCGCGUGCGGGAAGAAGGCCUUCGGGUUGUAAACCGCUUUUGUCAGGGAAGAAACGGCUCGGGCUAAUACCUCGGGCUAAUGACGGUACCUGAAGAAUAAGCACCGGCUAACUACGUG
rnacentral:rRNA from 1 species